CUAUGUUUAAUACUUCAAAUGCGUAUCCGUAUAUCCAAUGUGACAACCAAACCCAAAAAUUCUCCCCAACUAAACACAGCCUUAGGGUCUGUUUGGGGGAGCUUAAGAUUCUGAGAAGCAGCUGCUGAGAAGCUAGCUGGUAAAAAUUUGGAGAAGCUGGAAAACCCAGCUUCUAGCUUGUUCAUUUUCUAGAUUCUACAACUACAGAUUCUUAGAAUCUAGGUAAAAAGCUAAAUUGUUUGAGGGAGCUUCUGGUAACUGGAGAUUCUAUAAGAAGAUGUAGCUGCUAGAAGCUCCCUAAACAAGCCCUUAGUAUGACUUAAACAUGAUCGUUGGGUAGAUAGAGUAGGAGUGUCUGAUCAUGACAUGACCAUAUAUGCGUGUGUACAUAUAAUAUCAGUGCAUAUGUGUAUACCGCAAUUGCCAUAGUCGUAGUUAGCUCCAUGCUCCUUGGUGCUUGGGGCCAAGCCAAGCACGAUGGUACUCUUCUCUUCCCUUCCACCUGAGCUGCAAAUGCAUGUGGUGGCCCCACAUCUCCCAGGUCUACUAGAGAGGACCUGUUUGUGCAUUUGUGCUUGUUCACUUGUGCAAUGCAAUCAGAGAGAGAGAGAGGAGGUUAGCUUUGGCUAUGGUAAGGGUAGCCAUGCAUGCACGCUUCAAGGAUUCUUCAUCAGCUUUCUCUCCUUCCAAGGCCUGCAUCUGCAAGAUGUCCUCCAAAAGGCAUCAAAGGGUGUGGGGGAAAGAAAUUCCUCCUCUCCUCAUCUCGUGCUGUGUGUGAUGCGUCGCUGCGCUGCGACUGCGAUGGAUGGCUCCACGCUCUGUCCGCAUCUCUCUCUCUCUCUCUCUUUCUGCUCACCAUCAUCGAUCGAGUGCGGCAUGCUGAAUUGCAGAGAGAUAGGAGUACAUCGUCGUAGGAUGGAGCAGUAGACGAGCUACGAGCUACUAGCUACAUACUGCAUGAUGAUAUGUUGUGUUGCUGUUCAAGUAUGUUCAGUUCUGUCUACGAGCAAGCGAAGUGAUCAGCAACCCCAUUCUACUAUAUAUAUCCAACACGCCGGUGGGUGGAAUCUGGAAUUAUACGGUGUCCAGAAGACCAGAACUGGUGCAUAUAUACUCCCUCCGUUCUAUAAAAAAAUAAUCUAGUACUUAAUAUGAUAUAUACUAGUAAUACAAAUCUAGACAGUUAGAAUGUAUCACAUGGUCAUUGACACAUGUAGUACACUAUUGCAACUCUGAACUCUACCAGCAGGAGAAGGAGAUGACGUCGGUGGAGUUGACCUCCUCGUCGGCGGUGAGGAACCCGUGCGCCUUUCUCGAUGGUCCUGGUCGGUGGCAGUGGUGCUCAGGCCAUCCCCUCGCCGGGCUUGAGCACCACCGCCGUUGCCGCCUUCUCGCCGGGAUGGAGCUCCGUCGCUUGCCCAAACGUUUCUGUUGAUUCCAAAUAGAGUCAAAAAAUAAAAUACAUUUAGCUUUUGAUUGUAUGUAGUAGUUAAUUAACCAAAUCCCAUGACAUGUAUGGGACAUGGUCCAUUCCUAUCAUCCCCUUCAUGUCUUACCCAAAAUUUCAAAUCGGAGAAUCUUGGGUUCUUAGGGCAUCCACACACGGAUGCGGUACUGUGGGGGAUCUCAGUUGCAUCCACACUAGUCUGCCUCUUGAGGUUAUCUAUUUACAACUCCAACUCAUCUGAAGACCCUCUAGGGCAAAUGUAUGAACUCGGGAAGGAGACAUGUAUGACUAUGUUGGAAGGCUUGCACUUCCUCCCCAAGUUCGGAUGGAGAUUCUCAAAUAGAGUUCAAUUCUUUUAUCUUGUGUUAUGUCUUUUAGUUUAUAUUUUCUUUACAUCAUGUCAGUGUGUGCUGAGUUUGUUUAUGUGUGGACUUUAUAAUAAUUGGUUGUAACUCGUUGAGCAAA